rnacentral:rRNA from 4 species
GAGACCUCAGGUCAGGCGGGACUACCCGCUGAAUUUAAGCAUAUCAAUAAGCGGAGGAAAAGAAACUAACAAGGAUUCCCU